UGUUAUGAUUCAUUGUUUGUAGUUUUUAUGUGGUUUAUGUGGGUCUACUUUUGGUUAAUAUGGUUGGAUAAUGGUAGAAUAAGUAGGUGUUGUGAUUGGUCUUGUUUUUUCUCGGCUGUUCUCGGUCUGUUUAUUAAAAACAUUUCUAUUCGGAUUUAUGGAUAGUAGUGCCUGCCCAGUGCUUUGUAAAUGGCCGCAGUAUUUUGACUGUGCUAAGGUAGCAUAAUUAGUUGCCUCAUAAUUGGAGGAUUGUUUGAAAGGUUUGACUUGGGAAUUUGGCUAGAUUAGGACUUGGGCUGAAAUUGGAGUUGGGGUGCAGAUCCCCCGGUUUGUUAAUAAGACGGAAAGACCCCGAGAUCUUUAUAUUGUGUUAUUUGUUUGGGGCAAAAUGUUAUGUUUUAUGUGAUUUUUGAUCCUAAAGGAUAGAAGGUUUGAGUUACCUCGGGGAUAACUAGGUAAAAAAUAAGGAGAGGUCGGAUCGAUUUAUUUUAUUGCUAUCUCGAUGUUGACUUGGGGAAAAAUAAAGGGGUGUAGGAGUUUCUUUGUUGGGUCUGUUCGACCGUAGUUUCCCUCAUGAGUUGAGUUAAGACCGGUGUGAGCCAGGUCGGUUCUUAUU
rnacentral:rRNA from 1 species